rnacentral:rRNA from 1 species
AGGUAAGCUACUAAGAGCGAAUGGUGGAUGCCUUGACUGGUAAAGGCGAUGAAGGACGUACUAGACUGCGAUAAGCUACGGGGAGCUGUCAAGAAGCUUUGAUCCGUAGAUUUCCGAAUGGGGCAACCCAAUGUAUAGAGAUAUACAUUACCUAUAUAGGAGCGAACGAGGGGAAUUGAAACAUCUUAGUACCCUCAGGAAAAGAAAUCAAUAGAGAUUGCGUCAGUAGCGGCGAGCGAAAGCGCAAGAGGGCAAACCCAGUGCUUGCACUGGGGGUUGUAGGACUGCAAUGUGCAAGAGGUGAGUUUAGCAGAACAUUCUGGAAAGUAUAGCCAUAGAGGGUGAUAGUCCCGUAUGCGAAAAACAAACCUUAGCUAGCAGUAUCCUGAGUAGGGCGGGACACGAGAAAUCCUGUCUGAAGCUGGGUCGACCACGAUCCAACCCUAAAUACUAAUACCAGAUCGAUAGUGCACAAGUACCGUGAGGGAAAGGUGAAAAGAACUGAGGUGAUCAGAGUGAAAUAGAACCUGAAACCAUUUGCUUACAAUCAUUCAGAGCCCUAUGUAGCAAUACAGGGUGAUGGACUGCCUUUUGCAUAAUGAGCCUGCGAGUUGUGGUGUCUGGCAAGGUUAAGCAAACGCGAAGCCGUAGCGAAAGCGAGUCUGAAUAGGGCGCUUAGUCAGAUGCUGCAGACCCGAAACGAAGUGAUCUAUCCAUGAGCAAGUUGAAGCUAGUGUAAGAACUAGUGGAGGACUGAACCCAUAGGCGUUGAAAAGCCCCGGGAUGACUUGUGGAUAGGGGUGAAAGGCCAAUCAAACUUCGUGAUAGCUGGUUCUCUCCGAAAUAUAUUUAGGUAUAGCGUUGUGUCGUAAUAUAAGGGGGUAGAGCACUGAAUGGGCUAGGGCAUACACCAAUGUACCAAACCCUAUCAAACUCCGAAUACCUUAUAUGUAAUCACAGCAGUCAGGCGGCGAGUGAUAAAAUCCGUCGUCAAGAGGGAAACAACCCAGACUACCAGCUAAGGUCCCUAAAUCUUACUUAAGUGGAAAACGAUGUGAAGUUACUUAAACAACCAGGAGGUUGGCUUAGAAGCAGCCAUCCUUUAAAGAAAGCGUAAUAGCUCACUGGUCUAGUGAUUUUGCGCGGAAAAUAUAACGGGGCUAAAGUAAGUACCGAAGCUGUAGACUUGCACACAACUUAGAUUAUUUAAGUUUAGAAUAUGAGAAACUAAGUUAUAUGUUUAGUUAUAUUUUUACUGAUUUUUAUAGAGUAAAGAUAGAAAUAAAACUUAGUAAAAUCAGUAAAAAUAUUCUUAGACUAAAGUUAAGUAGUUUAAGUUGUGUGCAAGUGGUAGGAGAGCGUUCUAUUUGCGUCGAAGGUAUACCGGUAAGGAGUGCUGGAGCGAAUAGAAGUGAGCAUGCAGGCAUGAGUAGCGAUAAUUAAUGUGAGAAUCAUUAACGCCGUAAACCCAAGGUUUCCUACGCGAUGCUCGUCAUCGUAGGGUUAGUCGGGUCCUAAGUCGAGUCCGAAAGGGGUAGACGAUGGCAAAUUGGUUAAUAUUCCAAUACCAACAUUAGUGUGCGAUGGAAGGACGCUUAGGGCUAAGGGGGCUAGCGGAUGGAAGUGCUAGUCUAAGGUCGUAGGAGGUUAUACAGGCAAAUCCGUAUAACAAUACUCCGAGAACUGAAAGGCUUUUUGAAGUCUUCGGAUGGAUAGA